AACGUAGGAGGCAAGCGUUAUCCGGAGUUACUGGGCGUAAAGCGUGCGUAGGCGGGCUUGUAAGUGGGUGGUGAAAGCGCCCGGCUAAACCGGGCGAUGUCCAUUCAGACUGCAGGUCUAGAGGCGGAUAGAGGAGUGCGGAAUUCCGCGUGUAGCAGUAGAAAUGCGUAGAUAUGCGGAGGAACACCGAUGGCGAAGGCAAUCCCCUGGGCCUGCACUGACGCUCGAUGCACGAAAGCGUGGGGAGCAAACAGG
rnacentral:rRNA from 1 species